rnacentral:rRNA from 1 species
UUACGGAAGGCAGCAGUAAGGAAUAUUGGUCAAUGGACGCAAGUCUGAACCAGCCAUGCCGCGUGAAGGAUGAAGGCCCUCUGGGUUGUAAACUUCUUUUACAGGGGACGAAAAACGAGCAUUCCUGCUCACUUGACGGUACCCUGGGAAUAAGCACCGGCUAACUCCGUGCCAGCAGCCGCGGUAAUACGGAGGGUGCAAGCGUUAUCCGGAUUCACUGGGUUUAAAGGGUGCGUAGGUGGGUCUGUAAGUCAGUGGUGAAAUCUCCGAGCUUAACUCGGAAACUGCCAUUGAUACUAUAGGUCUUGAAUUUUCUGGAGGACAGCGGAAUAUGUCAUGUAGCGGUGAAAUGCUUAGAUAUGACAUAGAACACCGAUUGCGAAGGCAGCUGUCUACGGGGAUAUUGACACUGAGGCACGAAAGCGUGGGGAUCAAACAGGAUUAGAUACCCGGGUAGUCCC